rnacentral:rRNA from 1 species
AUUGAACGCUGGCGGCAGGCCUAACACAUGCAAGUCGAGCGAGCGGCGGACGGGUGAGUAAUGUAUGGGGAACUGCCCGAUAGAGGGGGAUAACUACUGGAAACGGUAGCUAAUACCGCAUACUAUAGGAUGAACCCAUAUGGGAUUAGCUAGGAGGUGGGGUAACGGCUCCCCUAGGCGACGAUCUCGAGCUGGUCUGAGAGGAUGAUCGGCCACACUGGGACGGAGACACGGCCCAGACUCCUACGGUAGGCAGCAGUGGGGAAUAUUGCACAAUGGGCGCAAGCCUGAUGCAGCCAUGCCGCGUGUAUGAAGAAGGCCUUCGGGUUGUAAAGUACUUUCAGCGGGGAGGCGUUACCCGCAGAAGAAGCACCGGCUAACUCCGUGCCAGCAGCGGCGGUAAUUC